UACGUAGGGUGCGAGCGUUGUCCGGAAUUAUUGGGCGUAAAGGGCUCGUAGGCGGUUUGUCGCGUCGGGAGUGAAAACCUUGGGCUUAACUCAGGGCUUGCUUUCGAUACGGGCAGACUAGAGGUAUGCAGGGGAGAACGGAAUUCCUGGUGUAGCGGUGAAAUGCGCAGAUAUCAGGAGGAACACCGGUGGCGAAGGCGGGUCUCUGGGCAACAACUGACGCUGAGGAGCGAAAGCGUGGGGAGCGAACAGG
rnacentral:rRNA from 1 species